UAACAAGUGUUCUCUUUGUUUUGAAGUCAACUUCUCUCUCUCUCUCUCUCUCUCUCUCUCUCUCUCUCUCUCUGUAUACACUAAGAUUGUACUGCUGUACUGACCCAUUGUUACUGGACACGGUUUAUUGAACUUACAAUAGCAGACUGGGUCUAUACCCAGAGGAGUACUUGGAAGGGUUUCCAGUGAGGACAUCUGUCUUAGCUAGAUUGGAGGUGCAACUCUAACCAACAGUAAGUCAAACUGUGGAUGGCCAACAGCCAAAGGGCAGUUUAUAUUGAAAAAACACCUACAGUUCCUCCCAGUUCCUUCAUGCAAAUGAGAGAUUUAAACUGCAACACAAUGUUCCUUCUUGACUAGCCAAUGCCAAAAUGGGCACAGUGGCUCAUGCUGUAAUCCUACCUACUACAGAGGCUGAAACAGAAGGAUGACAAAUUCAAACAUGUUUGUCUCACACGAUGUAGAUACUAAGGACAAUGAUUGCUAUGUACAGCAUUGGCACAGUGAGUGAACUGAAGUUGUAAAGUGGAUCCCAUGUCUUUGAAGAAUUAAGAGGCAGCCUGCAAAAGAUAAAGAAGUGAAACUCUACGUUAUUAAGAACAUGGAGUGACCUAGAUUUGAACACACUACCUUGACUCUCCAGUAACCAAUAGUUGUGAUUAUUCACUUCAGCAACAGACAGACAUUUCAAAUACAUGAUAAUCUAGGACAGACUUGGCUGGAUAUGUGGUGGGAGAUUAAGUGAGAUCAUUAAUUUGAAAAUUUGGAGAAGCAGAAGAAAUCACCUCACCCACCACUCUGACUUACACUGUUAACUGCAAACAGGUAGGACAUGUUCAAUAACUUGUCUAUGGGCAUCCAUCUUGGGAAAAUUAGAACUUAGAGUUCUGACUUGCUUUCUACAGGUGUCGUUUCAGGGCUGAACACUCUACUUGGCUAACCAAUGGUGGAACUCACGCCUGGGAAAAGCUGAUUCUCCGUCUCCCAGAAAUCAUAAGUUGUCUAUAGUUUAUUUGUCUACAGCUAGAUAAAGGCUGAUCCAAAGUUCAGAAUGCAAAAUUGAAAAAUUCUCUUGAAAUCAUUUUCAAGGCAUGCAAAAGGAAUGGAGACAGUCAGAUGAAGCUAGUCCGGGGUCCAGGUUGUGAUGGAUUUCUGCGCUAAUCAUCUUGAGUGCAGUCUGCACUGAUUCUGGCUGUCCCACUCUUCUGCAGCAGAGUUUAUCUUUUAUUUUAUGUUUAUGGAUCAACAGUUUUGUUUGUUUAGUCAUUGUGCUUCACCAGGCCUAGAGCCAUUCAGCUCUGAAGAUCUACGGUCUGCACACACUGAAAUGCCACUCCAACUCCUCUGCUCAGAUGAAUUAUACACAAGCGGCUGUCUCAUGAGCAUCCAAAGAAAGCCAGCUCAUUCAACAAACGUAUCAAUGGCAAAUGCAGCACAUAAUAACCGCUCGGGUGGUGUUCGUGAUAUGUGUGCAUGUUUGCCCGGACCUUGGCCCUAACUGAGGCUUGGGGACAUAUUCAGGAACUGAGGCAGAACACACUGGCAUCAUGAAAAAAGGAAGUGAAUGAACAAUGGCUACAAGCCCAUGUGACUGCAGAGCUCAUACCGUAGGACAUGCAUGACGACUGACACAAGGAAGACACAAGGCUGCCCCAACGGAGCUGGGAUCAGUCUCACCAACUGAGAGGACUGAUGGCUUCCUCUGCUUCACUGUAAUGGCAUCUCCUAUCUUGAGCCUUACAAAAUUGCCUGUUCUCAGUGUGCGUCUCCAGAAAAAUCACACACAAUUACUCUAUUCUGGGAGGAUCCUGACCCAUUUCUGGAAUUCUCCACCACCACCCCACUUUAACUCACAAAUAACUCUCGCUCCCACUGAAGUUUUCUGAUAGGAUGCUAUCCAGCAUCCCAGGCAGGGUGUCUCUUUUUAGGAACCCAAACACACUUCUUGAACACGUCCUUAGUUUCUCCCUGGAAUAAACUUCCUCCAAUUCUUUAUUUUUCACUUGUCUCUGAACUCUAUCUGAUGGUGAGAGGAAGUUGUAAAUCAUGAGUAGAAGUUUUGAGCUGGUCUCUCUGAGACUUUCUCAUCCUUUACCACGAGUGAUAUAACCAAAAGAAAAUAACAAAGGAUGUGUAGGAGACUGCAAAUCAAAGUUAUAUGAGCAAAUAAACUCUACUUGCAAGUGCCUUCAACAUUCUCACCGAACCAGGUCAGAGAACUUGUUAGCUUCACAGCAGGUCUCAUGAGUAUCUCCUUACCUGCUGGCAUCUUAACACUUAUACUUCUAUUUACUUUCAUGGCCAGGAGCUGAAUCCAGGUCCUCCUGUGUGCUAGGCACAUGCUCUAUUAUUGAGCUACACAGUGUGCUGGCUCUUUCCAGACUGAUCUUUGACCACAUCAUCCCUGGACUAGUUUAAUUCAGCUGGUCUUGAAGACAUCAUCUUUCCAGUUUCCUUUCAUCCUUUGUCCAUGGUUUCCCUCACCUACACCAGAGUUCCUGAUAAUCCUCCCUUCCAUAGAUUAGUUGUAUUUUUCUUGUUUCAUGCCUCAUUUCACUAGUGUUGAAAAUGGGACCUCCUGAACAUUAUGUGGUAAUUGUCGAGUUACCAUCUCACCAUGACUUGGGUUUGCUGUUUCUGUCUGCUGUGGGGUGGAGUUAGUUGUUUAGUAAUUUUUCUAAACAUUUUUAUUAGCCUAUAUGUUACAAAUUUUCAAUUGUAAGAAUACAGUUGGAUGACAUUAAGUAAAAUUAUACUGCUGUAUUUUCCAAGCACCACUGCCACCUAUUUACCAAAUGUACUCAUCUCAGACUCAAUUCUGCACCCACUAAAUAAUACCUUAUUCUCAUCUCUAACUAGUGCCUGACAACUGUCUUUUUCUGUCUGUAUGUUUACUCUACAUAUUUUACAUCAUUAGAGUUAUACAAGUAUCUAUCCUUUUUGUCUGGAUAAUUUUAUUUAAUAAAAUGUCUGCAAAUUC
rnacentral:lncRNA from 1 species